GGCCGUUUGGCACAGUGGUCCAGCGCGCCCGUUUCUUACAGUUGUCGCGUGUUCGAUCCGCGGAGGGGUGU